rnacentral:rRNA from 1 species
GACGAACGCUGGCGGCGUGCUUAACACAUGCAAGUCGAGCGGAAAGGCCCUUCGUGGUCCUCGAGCGGCGAACGGGUGAGUAACACGUGAGUAACCUGCCCCAGACUUUGGGAUAACCCUCGGAAACGGGGGCUAAUACCGGAUACGACACAGCUUCGCAUGGGGUCUGUGUGGAAAGUUUUUCGGUUUGGGAUGGGCUCGCGGCCUAUCAGCUUGUUGGUGGGGUGAUGGCCUACCAAGGCGACGACGGGUAGCCGGCCUGAGAGGGCGACCGGCCACACUGGGACUGAGACACGGCCCAGACUCCUACGGGGGGCAGCAGUGGGGAAUAUUGCACAAUGGGCGGAAGCCUGAUGCAGCGACGCCGCGUGAGGGAUGACGGCCUUCGGGUUGUAAACCUCUUUCAGCAGGGACGAAGCGUAAGUGACGGUACCUGCAGAAGAAGCGCCGGCCAACUACGUG